AGUGUUGGAUUGUUCACCCA
rnacentral:snRNA from 1 species